UCCCCCAGGUUGUUGACAGAGUUCGCCUCCUGCACUUGUAGGACAAGCCCCCGUUGCCUCCUUGGCUCCCAGGUUGGGGCUGCUGUCAGCUGCUGGAAGCCCCCGCAGUUCUUUGUCAGGUGGCGCUUUCUGUAGGCACUCCCGCAACAAGGCAACUUAGCUCUCCUAAUCCAGAAAUGGUGAAAAGCGACUAAGGAUGCAGCACUGUCGCUUUCUCCUACAGAAGGUGGUUCAGUCUGGCUUGUCCCACCAUCCACUUCAAAAUCUGCUCUUAGCCAUGAGGAGAGGGAUGGUAGGCGCUCUGUGCUUCGCAUGACUGUACAGGUAAGCACUCCUACCUGUGGGAUCCAGUCCUGGGAACCCUAGUUGUCUGCAAUGACAUCAUUUCGUUGACCUAGCCGUCAUUUAUUGAACGCAUUCCAUGAGCAAGGCAGUUUACGGGAAUUUAUAAUGAGCCAUGACUCAAAACUGUAUGAGCAAAGUCCACUGGCGAAUAUUGACAAUCUUCUAUUUGCCUAUUUCUGUGUAAUCCUUACACAUCCCUUGAAAUCGUUUUUGGGGUGAAGCUAGUGGCAAAAUUUCAUUAAAUUAAGGUCUUUUAGCAAAACUGAGAAAUAUCUCAAGUAUAAUGUCUAACUAAACAAAAGUGUAGUGAGGGGGCUCAGAACACACCAUCCAAGUACACCGCUCUGCCCUAUUGAUUACUUUGAGCUGAAGGCACGUGAGAAGCAGCAGAUUUGGGAGGGGCUCUCUGACCUCCCUCUUCUCCCUAAAAGCAGGACAUAAGAUUUCCCAUGAGAAAGGUGCCCUCUGUGCACCAGGAAGAGAAGAAUAUUCUUAUCACCAGAGACUGAGAGUCAAUGCCAAAAUGGGCUUGGAUAAACAAAUCCACUGAAACAAGGCUUAUCUUCCAUUAAUUUCCCCCAUUACUUCCUAGUCACAUUCCAGCAAUUUACCACCCUUAGAAGCUUAAACCCUUUUCCUUUGUCUUGUCACUUCUCCACAAAUUUAUCAUCCUUUAUUAAGAAAACUAUGUAUAAGCUCUCAGUAGUAAUCACCUCUUCAGGUCUCCACUUUUCCUAAGAAAGCUCCUAUGUGCAUGCAAAAAUUUAAAUAAAAUUUGUAUGCUUUUGUUCUGUUUAUCUACC
rnacentral:lncRNA from 1 species